GUGAAUCAUCAAAUCUUUGAACGCAUAUUGCACUCUCUGGUAUUCCGGAGAGUAUGCCUGUUUGAGGGUAAUUACAAAGCAUCUUUAACCAAUUUUUUUUGGUCAAAGGAAAUUACCCCUCCGCCUUUAUAGCGGUAGCUUGAAAUAAAUGUUCAAGUCUCAUUUUAGUCGAGCCGCUUACUAAUAUUCUUUCGCGAAACCUUUAUUAUGUGACUAUCAAGUUUUGAUGCAUACAAAUUUGUUUUGUAUGCCAUCAAUCCAAAUCUUUUCAACAUUACCUCAAAUCAGUUAGAUGUACCC
rnacentral:misc_RNA from 1 species